CCUACGGGAGGCAGCAGUGAGGAAUAUUGGUCAAUGGGCGGGAGCCUGAACCAGCCAAGUAGCGUGAAGGAUGACAGCCCUAGGGGUGUUAAACUUCUUUUAUAAGGGAAUAAAGUGUCCCACGUGUGGGGUUGUGUAUGUACCUUAUGAAUAAGAAUAGGCUAAUUCCGUGCCAGGAGCCGCGGUAAUACGGAAGAGGCGAGUGUUAUCCGGUUUGAUUGGGUUAAAGGGGAGCGGAGGCGGUGCCAUAAGUCAGCGGUAAAAUCGUGCGGCUCAACCGUACCUUGCCGUUGAAACUGUGUGACUUGAGUAUGCUCAGGGUACAUGGAAUUCGUGGUGUAGCGGUGAAAUGCUUAGAUAUCACGAAGAACACCGAUCGCGAAGGCAUUGUCCCGGAGCAAGACUGACGCUGAUGCUCGAAAGUGCGGGUAUCAAACAGGAUUAGAUACCCGAGUAGUC
rnacentral:rRNA from 1 species